GCUGGGUCUGAGGCGAAGUAAAGAACUUGACUUUCAGUUGUUUCUCUUUUCUUUCUUUUAUUUACUUUUCUUUCUUUUGAUUCAUUUAUAAUAUGUUUUAAAUUUAAUAAUUUUAUGCUACAUCACACAGAGCACCAAGGCAACACUUUUUUUUUCAUCUAAUAUUUUUGUUUAAAGCAGACAUAUUAUGCCCUUUUUUACAAUAUGUAAUAUAAGUAUCUGGUGUCCCCAGAAUGUGUUUGUGAAGUUUCAGCUCAAAAUACCCCACAGAUCAUUUAUUAUAUAAAUUUGAAAAUGGCUAUUUUGAGUGAAAGUAGAAACAGGCUGUUUUUCGGGCCUGUCUCUUUAAAUGCAAAUGAGCUGCUGCUCCCCGCCCCCUUUUCCAGAAUAGACCUGCGCCGUUACAGAUCGGACCUGCUAAAAACAUCUGUUUUGGUUCUGAUUAUCAUGUUUGUCGCGCUGAAAUCAUGCGUUUUAACGCAUACGAGUUUAAAUUUCUGAUAAAUGGUUUUCUGAGCGUGCACAGCCAAAGCGCACGGACAGAAAGCGGCCACCACACAGCAUGUGACACUAUAGUAGCGCAGAGACUGCCUACAGUACCUUCAAUGCACGCUGGAGACAUGAAACCCGCAGGAAGAUCUCAGUGCUUGUUGACAACAGCAUGCAGAUUUAUAAAUGAUUCUUAUUACUAAUUUGGGAAGAUGUUUGUUGCACCUAUCACAUUGUCACAUGCCUUUAAAAAUGCAUAAAAAAAAAUAAUAAUAAUAAAAAAAUAAACCAACCGCCUGCUGACUGCA
ensembl:lncRNA